UGGCAAUACCAAACAACUCAGAUCGUAGAAUUCUGGCCAGCAUUCGGUCCACAAAAGAGGAACAAGGAAAUGGAUCAUUUCUGUGUGUCUGCGGAGCCAGCUUCCAUCCACAGAGGACCCACGGCGGGCUGAUGGGGCCACAGUAACGUCACGACACAGACACCACCACGUCCCGAGGAGCACUGAAGAUUUUGACCAAAAUACCCCCAAACAUGAAGCUAGGACCAUCAGUUGAGAAACUUACAACCCAGUGACCUAUUUUCGUUUGCACUUCUUAAAGGGCCGGCCUUCUUAUUGCAUUUAAAUGAGAAUAAAAAUUGAGACUUUAAAAGAUCUUAUAAAGAAGCCCAUUGGUAAGUAAAAGACCAUUUGUUU